rnacentral:rRNA from 1 species
UACGUAGGGGGCAAGCGUUGUCCGGAAUCAUUGGGCGUAAAGAGCGUGUAGGCGGCCCGAUAAGUCCGCUGUGAAAGUCCAGGGCUCAACCCUGGAAUGCCGGUGGAUACUGUCGGGCUCGAAUCCGGAAGAGGCGAGUGGAAUUCCUGGUGUAGCGGUGAAAUGCGCAGAUAUCAGGAGGAACACCUAUGGCGAAGGCAGCUCGCUGGGACGGUAUUGACGCUGAGACGCGAAAGCGUGGGGAGCGAACAGG